rnacentral:lncRNA from 1 species
CUCGCCCCUCUGCCGCCGACUCUCUCGAAUCUGUCUCAUCUCUCUUGACUCGGCUGCCCUGGUCCUUAAUCGCUGCGCCCCAGCUCCCUCGCGCUGGAGCCUAGACCUGGCCCGGGCUCGCGUAGUGCGGCCUGCGCGUCGCCCGGACUCGACCUCCCCCCCGGGGUGACGCACUUCCGGCGCGACGGAGCCGCGGAGACGGCAGGCCCUCCCGACCCGCAGCGGUGCCGGCGCAGGAAGAAUGGCGAGCUCCUUCCCCCGGCGCCGCGGCGGGGCGGAAAGAAAGCCGACCUGCUGGCUUCCCGACCUUUUGAGCCAAGAGACCUCUUCCACAAGCUUCCUCAGGGCCAGGUUCUCGAGCGACACUCUGAAGGUGGCGUUUUUAAUCAGCAGGUGGGCGCCGAGGAAGCAGGCCUGUGGCGGCCAACGGUAGGAAACCUCCGGCCGCGACCGGCGGGUCCUGGCGGCCGCUGCGCGCCCCUCGAGCCCGGCCUGCCUGGCCUCGUUUCGCACAGAGCUCUCCAGCCCCAAGUUACCGUCCCCGAGCCUCGCUUGAGCCGAGCUUGGCCGUCUGCUCACGCCAGUGCCUGUGCAUUGCUGAGAACCCAGCUCCAGCCUGGGGACCUGGACCAAGGGAUCGAACUUGGGUCCUUGCACUUCCGCGAGGCAGGUGGCAGAACCACUGUGCUAAAUCCUCGGCCCUAGGACAUCACUUUUAUGGUGUUCUCUUGGACGGACUAAGUCUCAAUGUCUCAUCAGACCCAGAGAUGGGAAAUUUCAGUCUUUGCAUGGUUGGAGGCAUGAUAGAACGGCCUGGCCAGAAGAAAACUGCUCAUCUCAUGGCAGAUAGGAAGCAAGAGAGAAGAAAAGGAGGAGCUGGGGAGGGAGAUACACCCUUCUAGAUCAUACCGCCAGGACCUACCUCUUCCAAUCAGACCCCACCUUGCAAUAGCAAGUCACCCAUAUAUCUCCAUAUUCCAAUCCCCUUCCAAACACCUGAAGCCUUGAGGAUCAUUUUAGAUCUAAACUCUUACAGUACCCAAGGCCUGAAUUGUAGUAGUUCACAUGUCAGAGGAAAAGGGUUCAGCCUGAGGUAGAAGUGACAGAGAUGGAGACAGAAGGAGAAAUUUGAGGUAUAUUUUGCAGAUAGAAAUGACACUCCUCAUAAGCAUGUGGGAGAGGAAAAUGUUUUUGUCUCCCCUUUCAGGCAUAUUGGAAGUUACAUUUCCAUUCUCUACAUACCUCCCCCACACACCUGUAUGUUACUGGGAAUUAAACCCAGGGUCUUCAUACUGAGCUACAUUUUCACACCAUUUUAUUUUUUAUUUUAUUUUUUAUUUUAUUUUAUUUUUCAGACAGUAGAUGGAGUGAUUGAUCAGGGUUUAAUGAUUUUUGGAUCUCCUUUUCCUUGGAGGUGAGGUGGGGACACAUAAUAGGUUGAUAGAGAUAUUUCCCAUCUUCAAAAACCUUACUGAAAAUGAAACCAGAAAAUUCAUUUAAAGUUAUGAAAAAUACAUUGACUGACCUUUGAAGUUCAAGUAAGCCCAAAAUGAGCAGGAUAAUUAAGACAAGUGAAAAGGCUAAGAAAAUAUAUGAAGCUUGACUAAUAAGCAUGUUUAAAAUAAAUAAUGUAUUUUCAUGAGUUAUUGAUGAUCUUAUAAUUCACGAUUGCUGAGAAAUUAACAAAAGAUGAUUUAUAAAAGGUCAUCAAGAGCAUGUAAGAAGGCGACAGCUCAUUGCUUACCUUCUAAUUAGAGAUGUAGAAAGAAGAUAAGCAGAGGGAAAAAAGGGAGAAGGUAUACUAGAAAAGGGUAUAGACUCAUUUAAUAAUGACCCCACCCCUCAAGUUUUUAUCCUUCCAGCCAAUCAAAAAGUAAUGUACUGGGCCGGGGAUUUAGCUCAGUGGUGCUGCUGCCUGCCUCGCAAGCACAAGGUCCUGAGUUCAAUCCCCAGUGCCAAAAAAAAAAGUGAUGUACUAUAUAGGAAGUAAGAUCUUUGCAGAUGUAGUGAAUUGAGGCCAUACCAGAUUAGGGUGGGUCCUAAAUCUAGUAUUACUUGUGUUCUUACAAGAAGAGGGGGAAAAAAAAGAAAGAAGAGGGGAGAACACUGAGAUACUCGGAGACACACAGGGAAGAAACCCAUAUGACAAGAGGCAGAGGUGGAGUCAUAGAGCUUCAAGCCCAGAAGCCAGUUGCCAGCAGCCACCAGAAACUAAGAUACCCGUGAACCUUGUUCUUCCCAGAGCCUCAGAGCAAGCUCUGCCUCCCUGGCACCUUGACCCUAGCCUCUGGAAGAGGUGAGAGAGUAUUUUGUAUUUCCACUGCUUUAAGUCACCUCAGUUUUGGCUUUAUUACUGCAGCCUGAGGAAACUAGUACAUAUAUCAAAAACACAUGUAUUUUUUAAAUUAGUGUUUAAUUCAGAAAGUGUGUGGUCCCUUAAAGACUAUGGAAUAAUCACGAUAAGAACCAUGCUUUUUAACUCAAAUAUUAAAUUCAAUAUUUAUAUUUGGAAAAGUCAGUGAGCAACGUAGAAUUCAGUCAUAUAUCUGAAUACCUAUUCUGUUCAAUAAAUUAUUGGAAGAUCAGAGUGCUAAGAGUGAGGAUUGAUUAAGAAUUUUAUAAAUUAUAGGCCUCAAAUAACUUCACUUGGUGCAAUAAAAGAAGAUAUAUUAUUAUAAAGUACUAAAUUGAACUGUAACUAAGGAUUGAAAAGAAAGGCACAAAUACUGAUGUUUAUGAAGCAUUAAAGAAGAUAUAAAAAGUGGGAAAUGCAGCUAGGCAUGGUGAAUACUCCUGAAAUCCCAGCUCUCUGGGGAGCUGAGGAGAAGGAUCAGAAGUUUGAUUUCUAGGAAGCAUAUUUAUUAACUUUAGCCUUUUCUUUAUAUGAUGCUUUAUAACCAUUAGUAUUUGUGCCUUCCUUUUCAGUCCUUAGCUACAGUUCCUUUAGUACUUUAUACUAUCUUCUUUAUUGCACUAAAUUAAGUUACUUAGCAAGGCCCUAUCUGAAAAUAAAAAAUGGAUGAGGAUGUUGCUUAAUGAAAACAAAGGCUCAGUGCAAAGGUUCAAUCCCCAGUACCAUAAGAAAAGAAAAAAAUUCAAAGGUUUUGUAGCACAUUCUUGAAUGCAAAUGUUGAUGUUUUCAUUUCAAAUUAAUUAUUUUUAUUUAGUAUACUCCAUUUUCUAAUUGCUCUUGUUUAAUGCAGCAAUAAGCUCAAACGUUUUAUUAUUUGAAAUUACAGUUAAUGUUCAAUUAUCACUUACUUUAAAGUCUAUUUUUUAAUUUUAAAAUCAUCACUGUUCAUAUCCUAACAUUCAACUGAUUAAAAUUGGUUGUUACAUGUGUGGGAAGUCACCCUAUUGAAUUAUAGUUUAGUGCAUCUAUCUUCAAUUGCAUAAUCAUUAUUUUCAUAGUGCCAUUUUAAAUAUUCUAGUAUAAACCACCAUUGUUUGUUAAAAUAUGUAGAUACACAGAAAAAUAUUGGGAAUUUUUACUUAGGUUCCCUUAACUCACUGAUAUUUUUUAAAAGAGC